rnacentral:rRNA from 1 species
UACGUAGGUGGCAAGCGUUGUCCGGAUUUACUGGGCGUAAAGGGCGUGCAGGCGGUUUGUUAAGCGCAGGGUGAAAGCUCCCGGCUCAACUGGGAGAGGUCCUUGCAUACUGGCAAACUCGAGGGAGGCAGAGGAAAGUGGAAUUCCCGGUGUAGUGGUGAUAUGCGUAGAUAUCGGGAGGAACACCUGUGGCGAAGGCGGCUUUCUGGGCCUUACCUGACGCUGAGACGCGAAAGCGUGGGGAGCGAACCGG